rnacentral:rRNA from 1 species
CAGGGAUUGCUCUAGUAACGGCGAGUGAAGCAGCAAUAGCUCAAAUUUGAAAUCUGGCGUCUUCGGCGUCCGAGUUGUAAUUUGUAGAGGAUGCUUCUGAGUAACCACCGACCUAAGUUCCUUGGAACAGGACGUCAUAGAGGGUGAGAAUCCCGUAUGCGGUCGGAAAGGUGCUCUACACGUAGCUCCUUCGACGAGUCGAGUUGUUUGGGAAUGCAGCUCUAAAUGGGAGGUAAAUUUCUUCUAAAGCUAAAUAUUGGCCAGAGACCGAUAGCGCACAAGUAGAGUGAUCGAAAGAUGAAAAGCACUUUGGAAAGAGAGUUAAAAAGCACGUGAAAUUGUUAAAAGGGAAGGGAUUGCAACCAGACUUGCUCGCGGUGUUCCGCCGGUCUUCUGACCGGUCUACUCGCCGCGUUGCAGGCCAGCAUCGUCUGGUGCCGCUGGAUAAGACUUGAGGAAUGUAGCUCCCUCAGGAGUGUUAUAGCCUCUUGUGAUGCAGCGAGCGCCGGGCGAGGUCCGCGCUUCGGCUAGGAUGCUGGCGUAAUGGUCGUAAUCCGCCC